rnacentral:rRNA from 1 species
GACGAACGCUGGCGGCGUGCUUAACACAUGCAAGUCGAGCGGUAAGGCCCUUUCGGGGGUACACGAGCGGCGAACGGGUGAGUAACACGUGGGUGACCUGCCCUCAGCUCUGGGAUAAGCCUGGGAAACCGGGUCUAAUACCGGAUAUGACUCCAUGACGCAUGUUGUGGGGUGGAAAGCCUUGUGCGGCUGAGGAUGGGCCCGCGGCCUAUCAGCUUGUUGGUGGGGUGAUGGCCACCAAGGCGACGACGGGUAGCCGGCCUGAGAGGGCGACCGGCCACACUGGGACUGAGACACGGCCCAGACUCCUACGGGAGGGCAGCAGUGGGGAAUCUUGCGCAAUGGGCGGAAAGCCUGACGCAGCGACGCCGCGUGAGGGAUGACGGCCCUCGGGUUGUAAACCUCUUUCAGCUCCGACGAAGCGAGAGUGACGGUAGGAGCAGAAGAAGCACCGGCCAACUACGUGCCAGCCGCCGCGGUAAGACCUGAGACGCCAAGGC